CCCACUUCUCGGACUUUUGGCUAAGAUCAAGGUUAGUAUUUGAUCUUAUCAGUUUACCAUUCGAUACGUACCCCACACGGGGAAUAACGUAUUAAGUCGAUUUUUAGAAGAGGGAAUCGGCAAAAUGUAA
ensembl:snRNA U2 U2 spliceosomal RNA